UACGUAGGUGGCAAGCGUUGUCCGGAUUUACUGGGCGUAAAGGGUGCGUAGGCGGUUCUAUAAGUCAGUGGUGAAAUCCGGCAGCUCAACUGUCGAUGUGCCAUUGAUACUGCAGAACUUGAGUACAGACGAGGUAGGCGGAAUUGACGGUGUAGCGGUGAAAUGCUUAGAUAUCGUCAAGAACACCGAUAGCGAAGGCAGCUUACUAGACUGUAACUGACGCUGAUGCACGAAAGUGUGGGGAUCAAACAGG
rnacentral:rRNA from 1 species